rnacentral:rRNA from 1 species
UACGUAGGGUGCAAGCGUUAAUCGGAAUUACUGGGCGUAAAGCGUGCGCAGGCGGUUUUGUAAGUCUGUCGUGAAAUCCCCGGGCUCAACCUGGGAAUUGCGAUGGAGACUGCAAGGCUAGAAUCUGGCAGAGGGGGGUAGAAUUCCACGUGUAGCAGUGAAAUGCGUAGAGAUGUGGAGGAACACCGGAUGGCGAAGGCAGCCCCCUGGGUCAAGAUUGACGCUCAUGCACGAAAGCGUGGGGAGCAAACAGGAUUAGAGUACCCGAG